rnacentral:rRNA from 1 species
GAUGAACGCUGGCGGCGUGCCUAAUACAUGCAAGUCGAGCGAACAGACGAGGAGCUUGCUCCUCUGACGUUAGCGGCGGACGGGUGAGUAACACGUGGAUAACCUACCUAUAAGACUGGGAUAACUUCGGGAAACCGGAGCUAAUACCGGAUAAUAUAUUGAACCGCAUGGUUCAAUAGUGAAAGACGGUUUUGCUGUCACUUAUAGAUGGAUCCGCGCCGCAUUAGCUAGUUGGUAAGGUAACGGCUUACCAAGGCAACGAUGCGUACCCGACCUGAGAGGGUGAUCGGCCACACUGGAACUGAGACACGGUCCAUACUCCUACGGGAGGCAGCAGUAGGGAAUCUUCCGCAAUGGGCGAAAGCCUGACGGAGCAACGCCGCGUGAGUGAUGAAGGUCUUCGGAUCGUAAAACUCUGUUAUUAGGGAAGAACAAAUGUGUAAGUAACUAUGCACGUCUUGACGGUACCUAAUCAGAAAGCCACGGCUAACUACGUG